rnacentral:piRNA from 1 species
GUCACAGGGAUGACUGUCGAUUAGAGUC